rnacentral:rRNA from 1 species
UGGGGAAUAUUGCACAAUGGGCGCAAGCCUGAUGCAGCCAUUCCGCGUGUAUGAAGAAGGCCUUCGGGUUGUAAAGUACUUUCAGUCGGGAGGAAGGUGUCAAGGUUAAUAACCUUGGCAAUUGACGUUACCGACAGAAGAAGCACCGGCUAACUCCGUGCCAGCAGCCGCGGUAAAACGGAGGGUGCAAGCGUUAAUCGGAAUUACUGGGCGUAAAGCGCACGCAGGCGGUUGAUUGAGUCAGAUGUGAAAUCCCCGGGCUUAAACCGGGAAUUGCAUCUGAUACUGGUAAGCUAGAGUCUUGUAGAGGGGGGUAGAAUUCCAGGUGUAGCGGUGAAAUGCGUAGAGAUCUGGAGGAAUACCGGUGGCGAAGGCGGCCCCCUGGACAAAGACUGACGCUCAGGUGCGAAAGCGUGGGGAGAAAACAGG